rnacentral:tRNA from 1 species
CCUUGUUUAACUCAGUUGGUUAGAGUGCCAUCUUUACACGGUGGAAGUCACUAGUUCGAAUCUAGUAACAAGGACAA